AGCAGUAUGGUGUAUUGCUGCACACGGGGUACCUGUGUUCCUUUCGGUCUCCUGCAUUGAACCCCGAGGCCCUUGUUCGACUCAAGGUGCUGCUU